rnacentral:rRNA from 1 species
CCUACGGGUGGCAGCAGUGAGGAAUAUUGGUCAAUGGGCGCGAGCCUGAACCAGCCAAGUAGCGUGAAGGAUGACUGCCCUACGGGUUGUAAACUUCUUUUAUAAAGGAAUAAAGUGAGGCACGUGUGCCUUUUUGCAUGUACUUUAUGAAUAAGGAUCGGCUAACUCCGUGCCAGCAGCCGCGGUAAUACGUAGGUGCCAAGCGUUGUCCGGAUUUAUUGGGUGUAAAGGGCGUGUAGGCGGGUAGGUAAGUCAGAUGUGAAAUCUGGAGGCUCAACCGUCAAAUUGCAUUUGAAACUGGCUGUCUUGAGUACUGGAGAGGCAGACGGAAUUCCUGGUGUAGCGGUGAAAUGCGUAGAUAUAAGGAAGAACACCAGUGGCGAAGGCGGUCUGCUGGACAGCAACUGACGGUGAGGCGCGAAAGCGUGGGGAGCAAACAGGAUUAGAUACCCUAGUAGUC